rnacentral:rRNA from 1 species
AGAGAGAGACAUGCGCGCAUAUCAAUAAGCGGAGGAAAAGAAACUAACUAGGAUUCCCUCAGUAACGGCGAGUGAAGCGGGAAGAGCUCAAAUUUGAAAUCUUCAAGGUUCUACCUUGACGAAUUGUAGUUUAAAGAAGUGUUUUCUGUUGGAGUUUUGGUAAAAGUUCUUUGGAAUAGGACAUCAUAGAGGGUGAGAAUCCCGUAUUUGACCAUUAUUUCCAGCUUUGUGAUACACUUUCAAAGAGUCGGAUUGUUUGGGAAUGCAGUCCAAAAUGGGUGGUAAAUUUCAUCUAAAGCUAAAUAUUGGCGAGAGACCGAUAGCGAACAAGUACUGUGAGGGAAAGAUGAAAAGAACUUUGAAAAGAGAGUUAAACAGUACGUGAAAUUGUCAAAAGGGAAGCGUUUGACACCAGUGUUGUUUUCUCGAAAAUCAAUUAAAAAAGGCAGGAUUUUGUGUUGUAUUGACUUUAUCAGCUUUCUGCACUCUUUUCUUGUCUUUUUUAAUGCACUUUUCGUUUAACAAGUCAACAUCAAUUUCUUUUGUUGUAAAAGGGUCAUUGGAAGGUGGCUUUCUUUUCGGAGAAAGUGUUUAUAGCCUUUGGCCUCUGCAAUCGGAGAGAUUGAGGUCUGCAGCGUAGAUCCUUCGGGGUUAGAUACAUUUGUGCUAAGUUAUAGCCUUUCAUAGACAACUUGUUGACUAUGAUCAGUCAUGUAGCUUACUCGCUUAUGCUAUUUUACCUACGCUUAGGAUGUUGAUGUGAUACUGCGAGCA